rnacentral:rRNA from 1 species
GCGAACGCUGGCGGCAGGCCUAACCCAUGCAAGUCGCACGGAUCCUUCGGGAUUAGUGGCGGACGGGUGAGUAACACGUGGGAACGUGCCCUUUGGUUCGGAACAACUCAGGGAAACUUGAGCUAAUACCGGAUGUGCCCUUCGGGGGAAAGAUUUAUCGCCAUUGGAGCGGCCCGCGUCUGAUUAGCUAGUUGGUGAGGUAACGGCCCACCAAGGCGACGAUCAGUAGCUGGUCUGAGAGGAUGAUCAGCCACACUGGGACUGAGACACGGCCCAGACUCCUACGGGAGGCAGCAGUGGGGAAUCUUGCGCAAUGGGCGAAAGCCUGACGCAGCCAUGCCGCGUGAAUGAUGAAGGUCUUAGGAUUGUAAAAUUCUUUCAGCGGGGACGAUAAUGACGGUACCCGCAGAAGAAGCUCCGGCUAACUUCGU